rnacentral:lncRNA from 1 species
CUUUUACUGUUUUCUUUUGCAUUGAGUGAAUAUUUUGUAGUGUAACAUCUUAAUUUCAGUAAUAAAUUUUUACUCUAUUUUUUGAGGGUUUUGUUAGUAGUUGCUUUAGAGUUAACCAUAUUCAUCUUAACUUGUCAGAAUCAGAUACAGAUUUAUAUUCAUUUGAUUCCUUUAUGCCCUCUGUUCUUGAUCUGGAUCGUGAGCCACUUUCCCUGCAUCCUCCAUAUUCCAGCCACACAUCUUCCUGUAGAUUCCCUGCCCUACAUCUCAUCCCUGCAACACUCUACUUCCCUCACCCUCACCUCUCAGCAACUCUUCCACCUCAGCAUGUUCUCAGUGUCACUUCUGGGAGCUUCCCUGCUCCUCUUCAUUCAGCCCUGUGGUCUCUGAACCCCUCUCCAUGGCCCGCACCACACUUCAAGUCAGAUGUAGCCAGAGCUCUGUGGGUUACUGAUUAAACCUGCUCCUUGUGUGGACUGCAGCCUCUGUGAGGACUCUGAGCAGCAGAGGGCUGAAUACAUAGCCUCAAAAAUACCACUCAAGUGAACAGACAGGUUGGGUGUGACUAUCGUGUGCCUGUAUUUAUGUGUGUAUGCCUGUAUCUUUGAAUACAAGUAUCUUUGUGGGCCUUUGCAUGUUUGUGUGUGUGUAUAUCUCAAUGUAUUUCUGUAGGAGUGUGUGUCUUUGAAGUUGCAUCCAUCUAUGAGUAUCUCUGUGUGCAAACGUGUAUCAGUGUGCUUUUGUGUGUGUGUGUGUACGUUUGUGGGCUUACAUUCCUAGGCAGAGCUCUUUUUGACUUCUCCUUGCUAUGCAAUUACUUUUUGACUAGUUUGGCGUAGCAUUUAAUGAUUUCCCCAAAGCCAAGCACAGCUCCCCAAGUAUUGAUCUCUCUGCAGUGGAGGUGACACGAGGUGACGUGGGGCCAGCCGUCAGGUGCUGCCUCCACAGAAUUGGCUCUUGCACCUGCCCUACCUCCACAGCCCAGCUUGAUCCCUUGGGGGAAAAACCCCAGGUUGGCAGCUUGGUGUGGGGCAGAGUGGGGCUCCUGCCAAACAGCCUGGGUCGGCUCUCACUGGCCGCAUGACAGCUAGGAGACGGCCACCACAUGCUCCCCAGUUCCUGGUUGGUCCCUCCAUCAGAUCACGAGCUCAUUACUGUGAGGAGCAGUACCUGGUGUGAUGAUGGGCGAGUGCUGAAUGUCUGGUGGCCUGAUCAGAGGUCCGGAGGAGGAGAGCUGUUGUCCCUGAGACUGCAUUUCAUGCAGGGCUGGGUGACAGAGCUUCCCAUUUUGGAAAGCCCCUGCCAAGGUCAGUCCUCCUGUGUGGCUCCCUGUGUAGCACCUCAGUCUCUUGCAUUAGCAACCUCAUUCUGAGGUUCAGCUGCACCAAUUCUGUGACUGGUGCAGAGGUGAUUUGGCCUUUUCUGGCCUCAGUGCUGUUAUACCAGAAAAUGGCUGGAAUUUACAUGACUAGGGAUGAGAGAAGCUCUGAACUUUAAAAAAAAUUUAAAUUUUAUUUAUUUUUAAUUUAGCAAACACUUGCCAAAGAUAGCAGUGUGCUAGGCACAUCUCAGUGCUUCUAAAUACCAUCAUGUAAACGAUUUUAUUCCCAUACCAAUGCUAUGGUAUACAUACUGUUCAUAUCCUGUUAACAGAAGAGGAAGUUGAGGCACAGAGAUGUUGAGUGACUUGCCCAAGGUCAUACAACAGAGCCAGGCAAUCUGAUUGCAGAGUUUUUGCACACAAGCCCUCCUGCUUCUUACUUCUGUUGAUGUCCAAGGCAGAGGCCAUGUGUAGUUAGGAAGUGCCCACAGUGUUUAGGUCCCCCUUUCCUCUCCAGAAGCCAUGUGUGUGCCCUUUUGCCUGAUGAGGUCUUAUGCGAGGGCAGGUUGCAUGCAAGGGACAGAGCUGCUUGGCACAAGUGUGGGCCAUGGCCGGGAUUCCUGGGAGUGGCACCAAACACUGAAGCCCAGAUGUCCAGGCCCAGAGACCAAGGUCAGAGCUGGUUACCACAGCAGGAGACACUGGAAAGAGCUAGGCCCAUUUCCUGCCCUUCACCUCCUGGGGUUGCUGGACCCAGGUCCCUCGGGCCAGCAGCCUGGGAGCAAUCUGAGCCAGCCCCUGUCCCCUCAGAGGACAUCCUCUGCAGCCUCCAUGAACAAGAGGGUUGGUCCCACAGCCCGUGGCCUACUUUGUGAAAUUCAUCUCUGGAAGUAAAUUACUCUCCAAACAGAGCAGGGCAGCACAGAGCAGCUUGGCAUCUCAUGGUGGGCAAGGCCUGCUGAGGCCUGCUGUCUCCCCAGAGUGGCAAGAGAAAGACCCAGACCCAGCUGCUACUUCCCACUUGGCCACCAAGGUGGAGGGGCCAAAGAAGGCAGCUCCCAGCUUCCAAGCUGGCCUGGCGGCCUUAGCUGCCUCGUUGUCACCUCUUUCCUCCUGCCCUACCCAAGAUGGUGCCCUUAGCAGGGUGGGCUGGCCCAGCGCCCAGCAGGUGAGUGGGCUUUGGCUAAGUGCGCUUAUGUGCUGCGGGAGGACUGGCCGUGUGGCCUAAUAAGAAUCAAACCCUUUCCCAGGAUUUCGUGGAUGUGAGCCCUUGGCCUCAGGGAAGAUGCUCAGCUGUGCAGGUUCUCUGUUUUGUCUUCCACAAGAUGGGGCUUCCUGGGUUCUCCUGUUCUAUGGCUAGACCGUGCUGUUUCCUGCACACUUCCUGCCAUUACACCCUGAAGCCCUGGGAGGAUUUGGGGCUUUUGAGAGCUGAGGUACAAGGCAGAAGCUAACUAUGGCUUUCUUUGGGAGAAGUUCUUGUCACUGGUGGUCAGAUCCAUUGGCCUGUUUCUCAUACGCGUAGGUAGGUGAGGAAAGGCAGUGCUGGGGACGAGUCAAAUUUUUAAGAAACAUGAUGGCGUGUGCCUGUGUAUCAGUCAUGUAUUGCUGUGUAACAAGCCACCACAUUCAUGGAGUGCAACAGCUCUGAGGACAGAGGCAGCUGAAUCAGCUUUUCUCCUCUCCAUGAUACCUGGACUUCUCCUGGGAAGAUUCAGUUUGGGGUGACUUGACAACUCAUUCAUCUGACAGCUGCUGCUGGCUGUGGGUGAACCUCAGCUACCUGAGGGAGCACUAGUUAGUAUAUGGCCUGUCCCCAUGGUCCUGCUGUGCAGCCCCUUGUCACAGCACGAUGACUGGGUUCCAAGAGAACAAGGUGGAGGUGAAGGUGUUUUCAUAACCUCACCUUGGAAAUUGCUUAGUGUCACUUCUGUCCUCUCUUCUGGUUAACCAAUGGUCAGUACAGGCCCAAAAGGAGAGGCCUAGACUCUUCUUGUUGGGAGGAGUGUCAGGUUAGAUUGCAAGAAGAGUCUGGGUGGUGAGAGAUCUUGGCAGCCAUCUUUGGAAAAGAUUAUCUUCUAAUGGUGAUUCAGUGGCUGAGGGUGACAGGAAGUGACUGAACAAAAAAGUAGUCACAGAAGGCUGGGUGGGUUGACUGGGUAUGACAGAAAGUGGCCAAGUAGGAAGUGUGACAGAAGGUUGUAUGAGGGUAGUGGGUAUGACAAGAGGUUAUGUGAAGGGAGAAAGUGCCAUAGGGAGUAUCUGAAUAUGGAGAGAGUGUGACAGGAAGUAGCUGAAGAGGCAGGUCUAGUUUAGCCAGUGUCCACCAUGAUGGAAGUGAGCCUGCCCGUCACGGUACCCAAGAUGCCUGCAGCACCAUCUUUCCUUGCUUUGCAAGCUGUCCUCUUGAGGACCUUGGAGUGACCAUGCUGAUUCCAACAUAGGGACCCAGCCUCAGCUGGCCAGCCAGCAUCAUCCUUGAUGGCUCUGCCUUGCUCCUUGCUCCAGCCUCUGCCAACUCUCUCCCUUCCUGUGGGCUCUCAAGCUCCCCACUCCCACCAGCAGCCUCCCCUUCUUCCAGAAAGAGCGACUCCCACCUCAGCAGCCCUGGAAGCCCUCCAACUACCGUACUUUUCUUCAAAUAAAAGCAGCUAAUUAACAUUAUUCUUUAAUUAUUGCCUUUAUCAACAAGGGGUCUGAUUUGUACCAGCAGGAUAGUUGCUUUCCCUUAAACUACCCAAGUGAAUGCUUCAGUUCCUGGUGCUUUUGAAAUGAAUUUGAUGUCAUCUGCCCAGAGUCACUUAAUGGGGACGCCUGGGUAAUGACUGAACCGCUAACUCCGUUAGCAGCCCUGGAAGCAUGUAAUUUGGCCCCUCAGGCAACAGCACUUUGGAAAUCUCUGGAUAGUUUUGAACUCUCUGUUCUUAAUUAAAUAUGCAAUUUUUCACGGUAACCAGGUUAAUUCUUUUGUGUUGUGUUGUAAUACUGUUAGGAAUUUUCAUAGUUCUUAUUAAACAUUAUUCAGGCAUUGUGAAUUCCAUAAUUAAAAAAAAUGAAAAGAACAAAGCUUGAUUCACUUCUUUCUUUUCCCUGGCUAAUUUAUCAAAUGAAUUUUGCAAAUUUUUCUUUCUGUCCCCAGACAGUGUGGCAAGAGUUUUAAAGGGGAAGGAUUUAAUUGCCCUGUAGGGAUUGGCUGGUUAUGAAGGAUUUGGCUGUUUGAUUAGUAAACCCAGUUGGGAAUGGUCUAAUGCUCCAUGAUCUUAAAAAUUGUCUGAUUGUACCCUCUCCAAGGAGGCCUCGCUUUUCGUUAUGUAGAGCAUCAACUUCACAAAGUGUGAUUAUUAGGUAGGGAGAAAAGGGAGAGAAAGAGAUCCAACUUUACACUGGGGGUCUUGGGGGGAUUUUUACCCCCAACUCCCUGGCUGGGGAGGAAGGGAGAAAACAGAGACACAGAGUGAGACAGAGAUAGAGAGACAGAGAGAGAGAAACACGGGGAGGAAGAGACAGAGGGAGAAAGAGACUGAGACACACAGAGAGAGAGAGAGAGAGAGACAGAGACAGAGACAGAGACAGAGACAGAACAUAUAUACAGAGAAAAACAGAGACAGCAAUUCUCAAACCUCAGGUACAAUAGAAGAUGGAAGGUGGCUGAGAGGGUGGGGCCGAGGGAGCAUUUUGCCGUGUCCUCGCAGACACUGGUGUGCUGGAGCUGGAGUGUGGCUCAUUAGGCCCCACUUUGCAGGGCUUCUGGGGCAGGGUGGGCAGGGGGGAUGUGUCCCGUUCUGAAGUGGGGCCAUUCUGGGAAAGCUGUGCAGCCCCGCCCCCGCCGAGCAUGCUGGGUGGAGAGGAGAGGGCAGGGCCUCUCUCUCCGUGAUAAGGACAGGGCCCGUGGAAGGGGUGCAGGGCAGGGAUAGCUAGGCCCAUCGUGAGGGAGCAGGGCCACUGCUGACCCUGGGCCUUCUGUUUCCGGUGAGGGUCCCACUUUGCCUCCUUUUCCUCCAUCUAGAAGAUGAGGCAAGUGAUUUCCAAACUCUUCUUCCUUUCCUGGCCUCCCAGCCCUAGAGGAGUCGGGGGAGAUGAGGUAGAAGAGGAAGCAUGGCCCAGGUCCUGCAGGGCCUUGAGGGCCAUGGCCUUAGGCACUGGAGGAAGGGAAGGGUGACUUGCCGGGGGACCUCAGGCUUGACUGGAAAGGACCCAGAGGGGACCUUUGUGCCAGAAGUUGGGCUCUGCAAAGCAGCCCUUUACUCCCUGAUCUACGUCUUCCAGACUUGGCGUCUCCAGCUCCGACCUUGGUCACAUGGCCAGUCACAGGACUGUAGGCAGAAGCUAUCCCUGGAAAAUCGGCAGGGAGGUGGCAGUGACUUUAAGUUUGAUCAUGUGCCAAUGCCCAUGCUUGAUUCUGAGGUUAAAGCCAAGAGACUCGGCCCCUGAGCUCCAUCUUGAAUGAUCAUUAUAAAAGGUUAAGCUGAGUUCGGUGGUGCCUACUUAUAAUCCCAGCUACUCGGGACUCCAAGGCUGGAGGAUCUCAAGUUUGAGGCCAGCAUGGGCAACUUAGGGAGACUCUGUCUGAAAAUAAGAAGGGUGGGGAAUGGAACUCAGCAGUAGAGUGCUUGCCUACCAGGUGUGAGGCCCUGGGUACGGUCUCAGGACAGGAGAGAAAGAAAAAAUUAAAAAGUUAAAUCAGGGGGCCGGGGAUUUAGCUCAGUGGUUCCACCGCCUGCCUCGAAAGCGCAAGGUCCUGAGUUUGAUCCCUGGUACCAAAAAACAAAAGUUCAAUCAGGACACCACAUCGUCUUCUCCACUUUUAAACUUUCCCUGGCUCCCCACUGCUUUGGGGAUGUAAUCUAGGCUUUUUACCUCUGCUAACGAGGCUUAUCACAAUCACCUCCUACCCUGUCAUCUGCCUCCAUGGUCUUCUCUUUUACUAGACUUCCUUGCCCUCAGCUCCCCCAACCAGACUCAAACUCUUUCCACAUCCUCAAAUCCCUUGUGCUUUUGUACCUCUGAGUCUUUGCAUAUGUCGCCCUCCCUGCCUGGACCUUUCUUCUCAUCACUCUGUCUGACAAACGAAUCCUUCACCUUUAAUCUAAGAGGCUCUUCUGAACCUCCUGCUGGAUCAGGGGGCUCCCCCUGUAUUUUACACACAUUGCAGUUGGUUGGGAUUCCUUGCCUGGCCUUUUAAGACCCACGAGGGCAGCUUUUGUGUCUGUUGUGUGGACUCUGCUCACAAGCACAGAGCCUUGCACAUUAUUAGAUGCUCAAUGAUACCCAUUGAUGACACCCUACUUGUGCUGCUCCUGGAGUUUUUGGGAACAGGGAUCUUACUCCUAAACUUGCCAGACCCCUGCAGAAAGUGGGGGCUCUGUUGGAUUUGAAGAUGCUGGGAGAAGCCAAGUCCACUUCCUAGCCCUAGCCCGCUCAGCCUGCCGCUCUGGAAAGGCUGUGUUGGAGCUGAUGAUCAUCCAGAAAUGAGGCAGACAGGGCCCCUUCUCUAAGGGCCCAGGAGAGCUGGGCUGUUUCAGCCGCCUCAGGAACAGAAAGAGGAGAGACUGGCCCCUUGCUUUUCCUUCCUCCCUCGCGUCAGCCUGACCUUCUGGAUGGGUGGGGCUCAGGUGAAAAUGAAGGGAGACAGCACAAGCAUCUUCCCUCCCAGAAGAACAGGAGGCCAGGAGGAAAGCAGGUGGUGACACCUCCACUUCCCCGCCACCUUGUCCUCUGGCCUGCCCUGCUGUCCCCUUCUCUGAGCCAGCGUGAGAAAGUUUGCUGGUGAUGGCUGUGGCCAUGUGGAGGCUACUCCCUUACUGGCGACAUUCUGGCUGGUCACCUGCAGGCCUAGAGCAUCCUUAGGCAUGUGUGUGCACGAGCGCACACACACACACACACACACACACGAUUCCUACACACCAUCGCACAUGGUGUCAUUUUCUCUCUUCUUCCUUUUUUUUUUUUUGGGUACUGGGGAUUGAACUCGGGUCCUUGCGCUUGCACAGCAGUCGGCAAAAUGACUGAGCUAAAUCUCCGGCCCCCUCUUCUUCCUAUUUUUACUCCUUUUUAAGUCGUUAGGGGACAAAGAGGAGCUGAGUAAAGCUUUUUGGGAUUUGAGGUGGGCAGGGAGGCAUAGGCCACAGAAGGAUUUCACAGGGAAUCCCACUAUUGCAAGGAAAAGAAGGGAUUUAAAAAAUUAAUUUUGUAUUAUGAAAGUCACGUAGCCGUGUGAUAGGAGGGCUUUUUUUUUUUUUUUGUACCGGGGAUCGAACUCGGGUCCUUGUGCUUCUGAGGCAGAUGGCAGAACCAUUGAGCUAAAUCCCCGGCCCUAGGAGGUCUUUGAACAUGGAGAAAAGAGGGGGAACAAAACGCCCAGAGUGCAGCCCUGCCGGCCUUUCCCUGUGUUCCUGGGUACUUUCUGCUCAGCCCAGGAAGGACAUCUGAUUCUGCGCAGUGGUCUUGUUGCUGGACAUCCACUUUCUCCCUUUGUGUAUCAUUGUGCUGCCUUUAGAUCUGGAAGUUUACCAGCCUAAUUUCCACUGAGUGUGUUGCAAAAUCCCCCCCACCCCACCCCCAGCUUGGACCUGGGCCUUCCUGGGAUUCUGCUUUUAAAUGCUCUUUCGUUCUGCCUGCAUGUACAAGGCCCUGUGCUCUGUGGAGAGGGCUGGACCUGGCUUUAGCGUCAGGCACACACUACCUCUGUGCUGGGGCUCUCUCCUCUGUGAAGUGGGUCCCCUUGCUGCCUCACUCAGAAGAGUGUGUUCAGGAUCCGAAGAGUGUGUUUACCUGCAGUGUUUAACCCAGGACUAGCACCCAGCAAGCGCCCAGUACGGGUUAGUGCUGCUCCAUGGCCUAGCAGUGGUGUGGCUCAUUCUCUUGCCCUGGAGCUCGAGUGUGGUUGGUUCUUACUUAACCCAGGAAUGAAUGGGAUGUGGGUACUUCUCUGCCUGUAAUAUGUGGGGCUCUUGUGUGGAGGUCCAGAUGAAUGCACACGCACACACAUGCACACACACAUGCACACACACAUACACAUCACACACAUACCCUCAUACCCACACUCAGCUAAACCAAAGAGAGGGCACAGGGCCAUCCUCACUGAGGGUUCAUGGUGUUUUAGGCUGAUUAAAUAUUUAUCUGGGCCUUGUAAUGUGAACAUGGCACUUUGCAGUACAUAAAACAAUGUCAUGUGUAAGAUGCAGGCCCAACUCAGCAAAGAGGCUGUGGCAUGGAGGAUGCAGAGCGGGUAGGCUUGGCCAGGGCCUGCACUGAUCAGCCCGCCAGUGGUCUAUUGCACAAGUUUUUACCCAGCAUCUACUAGGUGCCAGGCCCGGGCCAUGUCCCCAGUGUGCCUUAGGGAUAAAAAUGGACGUGCUCCGUGCCCUCUUUGUACUGUUGAUGCUUAGAAGUAACCUCCCCCCUAAGACUCUGACAUUAAUCAAAUAAUCACACACAUUUGAAAUUACAAACCCUACUAAUGGCUGCAGAGGAAUGCGGCACUUAUAUAGCAGGACCAAGAUUUAGUGUGGAUGUCAGGAAAGAGCACAGUUCGGGCAGCGGAAGGAAGCAGUUUGUGCAAAGGUCCUGAAGUGGGAGGGUGCAGCUGUAGUUCCAGGACACGAAAGGCAGCCAGUGUGGCUGGAUCACAGCGGGAGGGACAAUGAAGUGGGCGGGCUGGGAGAUGGAUUGGGCCAGUUCAGACCCUGCUGAGUUCUGUAUCCUGGACAGAGGGGAACAGUGGCUGCAGAGGUUGAGGAAUGGACAAGGAGGAGGACUGGAGAGACUUGAAGGCUUAGAGCUUGGGGUGGGAGAAGUGGCAAGAGGAGGAAGCUCAACUUCUCCCACCACUGUCCUCUGGGCCGAGACUGGCAUGCUUGGCCUCUCCAGGCAUCCAAGAGAUCCGUCAGUCUCUGGGAUGCAGCAAGGCAGCGUAGGGGCUGGAGAAAAGUGCUUUCCUUGGGCAGAUUGCGGGGGGUGGGGUGGGUACAAUAUCAAAUAUAUGCUUCCUUUCUGCCAUUCAUUAUUUAUUUAGGGGCUUGUGAAAAAGAUCCAACCCCCCCCAAAAAACUCCAACUCAAAACCAACAUAGCUUCAGGCGCGCAGCCCGAGGGAACAAGUAUUUUCUUCUGUGCGAGUGUACGAAAUGCCUUGUGAGCACUCCAGGCCCUGCCAGAAAAGGGGGUUCUGGGAUUUUGGGGCUGCUGGGAUGGGACCACCAUUGCCUCCCACCCCUCCAAAGCCUGGUAAAGGCUGGCAUGGUGGGGUCCGGACUCUGCAAGAUUCUGUGCUCUUGCCUCUCAUCUGUUCUCAUAUCAAGUGUGGCCACCCUGGGAGCCAAGAGCUCUCAGGCAGGAUGGUGUCUGGCGCGGUGAGGUUCCCGAAUGGGAGCUGGGAGUUCAGGGGAUUCCGGGGCAACCCUUGCUUCGUGAUAUUUUGUGCCUCACACAUUCUUAUUAGCAUCGUAAUCGCUCCCAAAUACUGAUUCAUUAUUGCACUGUGAGCUGCAGACGGAGGCAAUGGGGUUUAAUAGUUCCAUAUGAGCCAUUCUGGGCUAUUGAGUAAAUAUUGCUCAUUCUGAAAAACUGGGUAAAUUGUUUAGCUAUUGCUGAGCAUGGCACCAGCCAAGCAAGUACUUGGUGUCUGGGCCAGUGGCAGGCAAGGUGGUGGGGAACAGAGGAACAUGUACUUUCUUUUUUUAGGGGGGUGCCAGGGAUCGAACUCGGGUCCUUGCAUUUGCGAGGCAGGCAGUAGAACCACUGAGCUAAAUCCCUGGCCCGCCCGGAACAUGCACUUUCUGAGAAAUGGCUGUUUGCAUUGGCUGGCCUUGGGCACAGCCUCUGGAUGUGGAGAUUGGAAUUAGGAAAGGGGAAUCAUUCCAAAGUCAGGGUAGAAGGAGCCUCCUGUUUGUAGGCAUAGGAGGCGGGCAGGAAAGACCCUGAGCCUUCUAGCCUGUGUAGACGUGUGACUAGAUCCUGAACGCGAAGGCUGGUUGCUGGUGGUAGCAAGAGGAUGCAUGGAAGGUGGAAAGGCUGCAGAAGGAGCUUAAUUCCGUCGCUUCCGAGCUGUCUGCACGGCAGGAGGAGAGUGAACAUUCUCAUAAACAUUUAAUUGAACUCCGCCGGGAAUUUAAGAAAAAUGUACCUGAGGUGGUGGCCCUUAGUAAGAGAAGUCAGGAGGCGGAGGCGGCUUUUCUGAGUGUUUACAAGCAAUUAAUUGAAGCACCAGGUAAGAAACACUUGGCUCCAUAAGUGAAUAAUUACCAACAAGGACCUGCCAUGAGCAGGCUCACAGGGGCUUCCUGAAGCGGGAUCUGGGACAGACCUGGGCUUCCAGGUGAGGCCAGGCACUCCGGGGCUGGGGGCCACACCCCUCUACUGUGACACCCCCACCGCCUUCCGACAUUAACCAGGUACCCACUGUGGGGGCUUCUGAUGAGGUAUCCCACCAAAUGUCUAAUCAUCGGAACCCCCAAACCAUGGCUGCAAGUGACAGAAGGUGCCAUUGCUCUCUGUCAGCAGGGAGACUAGAGGGGCAGCUACCAAGUCUCCCCAGAGUGACUCAGGCUUCCUCAGAACUUGCUAUCGAAGGAAAGCCAGGCCCAGAAGAGUGCAUACUGGAUGGCCCCAUUUCCAGAAAACACACAGACAGGCCAGAGGCUGUCUGUUGGCAGUGCUCACAGUGGCCCAAAGGGAAGCACCCCCACGUUCAGCAGGGGUAAUGGAGCUUUAAAAUGUGGUCUCCAUGCUGAGCAAUAUUAUUCGGCCAUGACAAGGAAUGAGGUGCUGAUCCACGCUACAACUGGGUAACCUCAAAGAACAUGGUGCCAAAUGGAAGAAGUCAGAUACAAAAGGCCACCGAGAACAUGAUUCCAUUUAUAGGAACAUCCAGAAAAGGUGAAUCUGUAGGGAUGAAAAGCGAUUUGGCCAUUGCAGGGGUUGGGGGGACAGGAAUUGGGGAGCAACUGCUUGAUGCAAAUGAGUUUCCUUUUGGGGAGAUAAAAAUGUUCUGGAACUAGAGCUGGGCCUUGUGACCCACACCUGUAAUCGCAGCACUGUGGUAGGGCGAGGCAGGAGAAUUGCAGAUUCGAGCCCAGCUUGGACAACUUGGCGACUUAGCAAGACCUUGUCUCAAAAUUUAAAAAUAAGAAAAGGGUUGGAGAUGUAGCUCUGUGCAGAGGCCCUGGGUUCAAUUCCCAGUACCUUGAAAAGAAAAAAAGCGAUCUGGAGCUAAAUAGACGUGGCAGAACAUUGUGAGUUUACUAAAUGUCACUGAGUUGUUCACUUUAAAACAAUAAAUUUUAUGUUAUGUGAACUUUACAUCCAUUGGGGAAAAAAUUGCCUGGUGCUGUAGGAAGUGCUGUUGCUCAGUCUGGGUACAGUUCGCAGAAGUGUUGUCACUUUGGGGACAUCUGGUGGUACACUUAGGGUACAUGGGGACGUUGUACACCUGUGAAGUUUCCCUUUUCUCACAGAGCCCAUCUCCUGCCACAUUCCCAUCUCCUGACCGGGGAACAGGAGGCCAGUGCUCAGAAGUUCAUGUUCUGGUGACGGAGGACAUAGAUGACCAGACCAUAGCUCACCUAAGCUGCCAUCACAAACCCAGGGCCAUGCCAGCAGUUUAGAGCUUGGGGUGUAGGGGCCAACAGACACAGGGAACAGCGGGAAGGGCUACAGCCCAUCAGAUGCGAGGCUUCAUUGCAGGAUCCCUAGGGAAACUGCAUCCUUUUGGACUCCAGGAUGCUGAAACACAGGCACAGGGCCAGCCAAGGACCCUGAGAACCCCCAGAGACUGGCGAGGAGCUUUCCCUGGUGCCCUCUCCCCUCUCCCCAAAGCCUGGGAGCGCCGAGGUCACUCCAAGCCUGUGCUGACUUGUGUGUCUGAUUUCCCAGCUCUCCUCCCCAGAAAUGGAGGGGCGGGGGGAUGUCCCCAGCUGUCACCGAGUUAGAGAAUGAGGAGCCUUAACUGAUGGAGACGUACCACACAAACAGCCCCUUUAGGGGCUCUAAUUCAUUUUCGAGACAUUUAAGAAUAACAAAAUGUUUUAAUGAUUUCUUAGGGGAAUUAGGAAGACAUAUUUUUGUUCUCAUUAAAUUUUAUCCUCAGACACAAGAACCAAAUGUCAGAUGCGUUUUUGGUGCUCAGAGCAGCCCUGCUUGCUGCCCCCCGCCCCCUGCCGCCCCAACCCCCACCCUAAAAAUACCACGCCUGAAAAACGGGCAAGGAUGGGAUAUGCGUGCCCCUGUUAGUGUAUUUCUUGACAGGAAAAUUAUUUGUUGAAAUUCUCCCCCUACACACACCCCCAAAGCCACACACAAGUCCUGAUUCAACAUUUUUGUUUUGAAUGACUGCUGCCAACACAAAUCUUUGGCAGAGAAUGGGAUAUAGCCUGAUUGCUCAGCAAGUAUUUUGAUAAGUGUGCAGCCUGUAUGUCUGUAAUUACGAAAGAAAACCGUAAAUCUUUUGGAUAUUGUUCACACAGAUGUGGCGUGAAGUGAGAAAAAAAGCAGUAAAACGUGUUAAAAGCAUAAUUAAUGUCAUUGUUGUGGAGGAAGAUUUGAUUUAAACCCCUCUGACUUCUGUAUUGGUGACGGCUGAUUUCUUUAUCGCGCACAUAGAGUCACUAGGUACCGACCCGAGCUUCAGAACGCUAACUUGUUAACUGAGUGAUUAGUUAAAAGACAGGGAGAAAAAAGGAAAAGACAAAGAAAGAGCAAGUGAGAGGGCAGGCAGAGGAACACUGCUGAGGAGAUGAGAAGCGAGAGGUGAGUGCCCCAAAAUGGGUUUUUUCUGCUUUUCUUUGGUGUGAGAUCUGAUGCAGGAUUGUACGAUUUCUGGCAGGUGUUUCCAGCCCUGCUCCUUCUUUGGGGAGUCAAGGCAGCCAGCAGGGUGGUUGCGUGGGCACACUGCAGCAUCGGGCACUACUGAGUGGGACACUCGGCUUAGUGUUCUGAGCUGUGUGGCCUAGGCCAGGGAUCUUAACCUCUCUGAACUCUCGGCUUUAGAAGAGGGGUAAUGAUCGGACCUGCUCAUCAGUCAACGCAAGGAUUCAGUACUUUGCGCCCGAUCGCAUUUAGCAGGGUUGAAUAACCCAGAGCCCGAUGACAUCAGGACCUAAGAGGUACAGGCACCUGCCGUGAACUACAUGAGGUUCUGCCAACUGUCAGGGAUGCGGGGGGAAUGCAGGCAAGAGGGUUCCUGAGUCUGUGGAGCAGCAAAAGUGCUUUACCAUGUUUAGGGUUUCCAUAUUUGUCUCCCCAAUUAUAAAAGUAGCAGAUACACACUGUCAACCUCAGAAUAACCAGAAAUACUCGAAUACGCGCAAGCUCAAGGUCCCAAGUUCAAUCCCCAAUACCAAAAUAUAUAUACACAUACACAGAAAUAUUAGAAGAAAGUAAUCCACUAGAAAAACAAUUUACUGAGGCUUUUGCCCCUGGUCUUUUCACUGUGUCCUUUUCCCAAACAGCUGCUGACUCUGCCUGGAGCGCUUUGUGUCCUGCAUCCCUGAGCCACGAGAGCAUCCUUACUUCCCUGGGAGGUCACAGGUCCUAGGGACUUUGGUUUGUCUUGGCUAACAGUCUCUCGUGUGGCCAUAUUGAAACUUACUGAGCCCCUGCCGGACACUGGGCUUCUGGGUGCUCAGGGGAUGUAGCUUAUUGGCACUGCUCUUUAGACCUGAGGACAAGGAAGAAAACUUGGGAAGAAAAUAUGCUGUAGUGACGUAUUGGCCACAAACCCAUGAUCAGUGGUCAGAAAAAAUGGGACUAUUUUUCUCUCGUUUUUGCUCCUUUAUUUGCUCAUCUACUAAAUAUCUUCUCAUAUGUUAUGAGCCACUUCUGUUUAUUCUUUUGUAAGUCACUGAUUUGUAUGUCCUUUCUGUCAGAGGGUAAAUCAUUUUCUUGUUGAUUUGUAGAUGCUCUUUGUAUAUUAAGGAUAUUUACCUUUGUGCUGGUGCACAUUUCAUGUCUUCUCCCCUAGUUUGCCUUUUGUUUUUUACCUUUGUGAUAAUGUCUCGUAUAUAGAACAUAGCAAGUAUUCAAGAAUCAUUUGAAGAAAUAGAGAAUCUUACCAAAUCUUUGCUUUAUGGCUUCUGAUUCAUGUGUCUUGUUUUUUAAAGGCUUUCUCACCUCAAUGUUAUAGAAAUUUUUUGAGUACUUUCCUUGUCUUAGUUUUUAAAAAUUUAAAUCCAAACCAUCUGAGAUAGAUUUUGAUGGAAAUAAUGAAGGCGGUUAAGUAUCUAGCUUUUUGUCCCAAAUAACUAAUUCUAGCGCCAUCUAGUGGCUGAGCCACCUCCACGUGUAGUUAUUUAGAUUUUUGUAUAAUUAGAAACUGUAGUCUGCCUUCUCUGCCUUUUCACUAUCCCUCUCCCCCCCCCCCCCGCCACUUGUGCCUCUGCUCAGGUAGUCCUGUUGGGAUUAUGGGACACCAGAGGAUAACGUAAAUGAGUUUUUGUUUUGUUUUGUUCUGUUUUUUGCUGGGUUUGGGUUUGGGUUUUGGUUGAACCUCUGCAGAGAACUACAUCCCCAGCCCUUUAUUUUGUUUUGAGACAGGGUCUCACUAAAUUGCUCAGGCUCGAACAUGAAAUCCUCCUGCCUCAGCCUCCCAGAGUGCUGGAAUUACAGACAUGCACCACAACACCUAGCAUAAAGUUUCGGUUCUUGUUUUCAGUACUAGGGAUUGAACCCAGGGCCUUGCACAUGCUAGGCAAGUGUGCUGCCACUGAGCUACAUCCCCACCCCUCAUAAGAUAGUUUCGGUGCAUAAAAAAGGGAAAGCUUAAUGAUGUCAGAUUUUCCUAAAGACAGUGGUGACUUGGGAAGGCACAUUCCCUCCCCAUCCCCUCCGCCAGUACCACCCUCUCCUCAAGGCCACCUGCCCAAGCCUGACUGCCUCGGGGAGCUCGGGGUUAGAGAGUGGGUUAGGGAAAGCAGCUCCUAUGCACUGGCACCCAGGACAGGACUGUUCUCGACCAAACAGGAGGGCGGGCACUGCUGCUGUGGCCUUGCCCGGUCCUGACACCUACUUCAAGCCAAGCACUAUGGAAACUCAGUUGGGGACCCACAAGGACCCUGACCCAAAAGCAGACAAGCAGAACACACAGAAGAGAACAGGCUCUGAGGACAAUGGCUGGGGGCAGGGCCUCAGAGAGGGUGGCCUGGAACUUGGUUCAGAAGGCUGAGGUACCAUCCUGCUGUGCCCCUCUGGGUGCUUCUUCCUGUGUGAUCCGCUGAGGAAGGGCAGGCUCAGGUCAAGCCACCCACCCGAGGUCACACGGCAGAGACAGGACAGCCAGCUCCUGACCGCUACCCCAGUUGCAGAAUUUUUAAAAUCCAGGGAGUUUGAACAACAAAGCCUCUGGGGACUCAACUCCACAGACCCACAACCACAGGGACAGGGUCCCUGCUGCCACUGAGAGGGACCGGGUGGGGGUUGGGGUCUGUGCUGAGAGGCAGGAAGAGCAAUGUGGCCUUCACUGGCCAGGAACUCCUGCUCCCUCUGGCCCUGGGCUCCAGAGCCGUGGUGCCUGGCAGAGGGGGAACAAGGGGCUCCAAACUUGG